rnacentral:tRNA from 1 species
GGAAGGGUGGCUGAGUGGUCUAAGGCGACGGUUUGCUAAACCGUUGUAUGGUGUUUACGCCGUACCGAGGGUUCGAAUCCCUCCCCUUCCGCCA